UUGUCUAUUACCGUGAAGUACUGCAUUCAAAGGACUCAUAAUCCCUUGGUCGCUGGUUCGAGUCCAGCUGGGCCCACCA
rnacentral:tRNA from 1 species